GCUGGGAGAUACAACUGGUAGAAAAAUAGAGGGGGGAGGAGAGACCAAGGAAAUAGAACAGUUGCUGAGAAAGGGAAAAGGGAAAAGUCUUGGAAUGGGGGGUUGGAAGAGCAUUCAGGAAAUGAAAAGGUAGAAUGAAGGGAUAUUUAGCAAGCUUCCAUUGCACAGAAAGAGGGAAAAACUGCAUCUGUUGUAAAAAGUUUCAAACUGGUUUCUCUGAAAAAGGUUGGUGAGAGAGAGAUUCCCAAAUUGAGAUUCUCAAGCCUCUAGGAAGUUAAUAAAUACUAUUCCUAAGGCCCCAGAUAAAAUUGCGAAUCUCUUCAAAUCGGGAAUUAUUCAGAAAAAGCAAGCAGAAAAUGUGUGCUGGGAAAAUCUUUUGUCUCUAAGGAAUGGGCUUUUUCCUCAGUCUACCACUCCCUUCUGAAAUAAAGAUCAGGUGCUACUACUGAAAAGACCUGUUUAUAAGUAACAAGAAGUUGAUGAAAUCUAUAAGGUCAUGCAUCAGGUCCUCCUCCGAUCAUCAAGAUCACAGGUGCCAAACUCGUGGCCUCAAGUUGCUGUCAUGUGACAUAUGACAUUUUUCCCUGAAAAAAUGUCGUCUGGAGCUGAGGUGUUGUCCCUGGAAAGCGUGAGACUGCUGCUGAAUUAUAGGAUCUAAAAAUAAACAGAAGUGCAACAAUAUAGUUAAAAUGUUAAUGGUCCCUCUCCUACUUCCUUCUUCUCUCAAUACAAUUGCAAUACAACAGGAAUUGAAAACGAAACCUAUUAUGAUCAAUUUGAAGAGUUUACUUAGAAAAAAAAUGAAUACAUUUUCAUUUUUCAUUUCAUUUGAGUGAAUCACAAAGACAGUAUGUCAUAAAGAAAUUCAUAUGAAUAUAUCAAUGCUGAUUUUCAGGGACAUAUACAGUUAAUAGUUACGUAAUGUCUACGGUUUGGAAUUGGGUAUAUAUGUUGUGUCUGUGACAUAGGUCUAUGUACCUAUGUAUAAAUUAUGUAUAUGACUAGUACAUUCCAGUCAAAGAUUUAGACUAAUGCAAACUCAAGAGAAAGUUCCACUGAAGAAAAACUGAUUUCAAAUUGACAUGCAAAGGCUUAUGCUGCAUUAAUGGCUGCUACAUACUAUUUUGCUGCAUCACUUGGUCUAUCUUGUUUUAAAUAGUAAAAUACAAGAUUGUUACGAGUCUCAGAAUAGCUAGGAAUAAAACCCUGUUGAUUUGAGUGAAUUACUAGAAACUAAUUUAUAUACAAUUUCAUGACCUAUACAGUAUAUCUAAUUACAUCAUGUUGAAUUGUCAAGUUACUCGUAUGCUAAUACUACUGCAAUGAUAGCUCAGCAAUGUCAGUCAACAAAUCUGAAAGAAAAGUUGCUUCCAUUUUUGAGUCUCCACAUCUUCAGACAGACUAGGGUGAGCAGAUAGAAGAAUAAUAAAAUUCCCAGUGAAAAGACAACAUUUUUCUGAAAGACUCGAAACGUUACAUGGAUUUUUGCUGCAAGAAAAUGAUAUAAUUUAUAGAUUUGAGGAAUACAAAAAUAUGUGGAUUGAGCAAGGGGCUGAAGGAAUUUGUAUAACAUCUAAGAGAAGGAUGAUUUUAAAAUUGUAAUUAUCUGUUAAAGAGAAAGUCGGAAGUCAUUUUAUUUUAUAACUAGUUUUUUUUCUUGCACCUUAUUCUUUUCUUUAGUUUUUUCUUUAACAUGUGGUAAAACCCUUAAUUAAAUAUAAACAAAUAAACAGAUAAGCUGGAGUAACAAGGAACCUAUGGACAACAUGUGAACCUCCAGUCCUGCGUCUGUAUCUAAGAAACAUUAGAUUUUUUAAAAAAAAUCAGCCCUAUCUCUUUAACUGGCAUCACCUAAGACCCUCCAGCCAAUAGAAAGCAAAAAGGUUCCCCUAUUCCUGGAGAGAGACUGAAGUUUUCAUCCAGAUUAGUUUUUCGGUAUGGUUGUGAUUAUGCAUCAGAUACAGAAUAUUCUUGAAAAUAAUGAAGCAAAUGCACUGGGAAAAACCUAUGACAUUAUUGUCUUUUUCUUUAAAACAAAGUAAGGUAAUGUUGUAAUGAGAAAUAUGAUAACCUCAUAGUGAUUGUAAUAAAAUCAAUUUUCUCUUUAUAGAUAUUGUGCAAAUAUUGAUAUAUCCAGUAAACAUAAGCAUGUUGUUUGUAAAUGAGAUAAAUGAUCCUGAAAUUUUGAUUACAAAGUGGAAGGAUAUAGCUGCAUUCCUAAAAUGGAAAGGGGGGGGAUCUAUAAUGUUUGUAAGUCGCAGAGUUGCCUCUAGACGAAAUGGAGCAAAAUAUUAUCCACAAUUCAUCCAGCAUAAUCUUGUUUUAUCAAGGAGUGGCCGGCCUCAAAUAAUGUUAGAUUCUCAUUCGUUGUAAUAGCUUAGUAUACCGAUAAGGGUGAAUUAGUAGUAUUUGUGUUGCUGGAUGCAGAAAAAGUCUUUGAUAUGAUUCAAUUUAAAUAUUUAGUUCAAAUGAUGAGUAAAUUUACAUUCCCAAAAAUAUGUUUCUUGGAAAGCAAUUUCAGCCUCUAAAUCCUCUGGUUGAAUUCUUACUGAUCAGAUUGUUUCCAUUAAAACGCAACACAAAAUGUGUCAAGAAUGUGUUUUUUCUUAAUUUUCAUUUUAAUGUUGGAACCCUUCAUAUGCACUAAAUAGGUGAUAUCCAGGAAACGUCUGCAGUAAGGCACUGCGGAGGCCGUGUGGAAGUAACACAAAGGUACAAAAAAUUUUAGGUCAAGCAGGCUUCAGCAAUGGUAAGAUGGCAAAGGUCAUUUGGGGGGGCAGCAGGAAUAGGUGGUGGUGGUGGAAUGCAGGGCAGCCAAAAGAGCAAUGAUGGAGAGAUAGGCAAGCCUGGCAGAGCAACACAGCCUUGUUUACCAAAGGGAAUUUGCCAGGCCCAGAUGGAGAGGAAGCAGUGGCACGGGGCCAGCAGGUUUUGCAGGACACGAGAUAUGAGAGACCCUCACUUAAUGACAGCCUGGUCAUUGCCUAACAACCAGAAUUGUGACUACUGGAACUACUCCCACUUAAUAGUGAAGUAAUGUGAUGUGUCAUCUAAUGACUGCUUCAUUUAGUGAUGGUAAUUCCAGUCUCAAUUAAAGUUAUUGAGGACCAUUUGUAUUGAGCUCAAAAGACCAUUGGACAAAAACAGAAGCUGUGAACAAAAAAAUAAAAACUUUAUAUUUACUUACUACUCAUUUAAUCCCUACAGUGAUAUUGAUAGAUUAUAUCUGUCCUGCACAAAUGGACGAAGAGGUUUAGUUCAAGUCAAACAGUCAAAGAACAAAAGCAUGCAUUGGCUGAUUAUGUAAAAGACAGUCAAGAACAAGUAUUGUUACAAGUUAAAAAAUUGAAACUUACUGAAUAUGUAAGAAAAACAUGACUAACAAAAUUAUUUAAAAUUAUUUAAAUUUGAUUCUUUGCAAAAUAUCAGUCACACAAUCAGUUUUAAUACUUUUUACAAGUCUCAAAUGUUAAUCAUUGGGCUAUAUUUAUUGUUUUAAAGUUCUAUAUGAGCUACCCAAGUUUUGUCCAAUUGAGCAAGAUAUAAAUGAUAUAAAAUAAACAAAUUAUAUCUCUGAGCUUGACUGCCAUGGGUCUAGCACCUACUGCUGCGUAGUGAGUAAAAUGAGGGCCCAGAUUAUUGGGUGC